AUGAAUAAUAUUUGCCAUUGUCGUCAUCAUCAUCGUCAUCAUCAUCAUCAUCAUCAUCAUCAUCAUCAUCUUUAUCACCACUGUAUGCUUUCAAAGUUCUUUCAUAGGCACCACCUUUCCAAUACCAUAAGGUGGCAUUUUAAGCUGUCAGCUACUUCACUUACUUUUAAGGCUUGCUAUGGCUUUUGUAAAAAAUAUUCUAAGAACUCUCCUUGUUCCAACAUCCUACCACCCAUCGAUUCCAUAGAACGGGUUCCUGUAAUCUUAUCCUGUAAUCUAGUCCACAACCAUGACUACUUAUUUCCAUACGUCACCUCUUCCGUUUCUUUCAUCUGCCAGAGUUUUGCCAGAAAACGUGGCAGACUUCUGAAAAGGCACUUUUUCAAAGACCUGGAUGCCCGAGAAUACACCUCCCCUGGCAUCACUCUAGACGCGUGCAAAUCCGGAGCUUGAGGCUGGAGAGACUGAGAUUGAAAAUCCAAACUAAUGGAGACACAGAAAUAAGUGUGGUGCUAUCACUGCUUACCUCCGUCCUUCAUGUAAUACCCACACUGCUCAGGUCAAGAGAGGGACUCUCUGCUGCCGGCCUCUGAGAAGAUUCCUCCCUUUGUGAGUGGCCCCUGGUCUGUAUCUCCCAGCUCUGUACGUACGAGUUGAGUCACUUAACCUUUCUCAGCCUCGAUUUUCUCAUCUUGAAAAUGGUAAUAUAAUUGUACCUAUCUUACAGGGUUGUUAUAAGAAUUAAAUGAGGAAUUCAUAGAACAUGCACAACAUAAUGUCAGGUACAUGGCAAGCGUUCUUACACUCUUCUCCCCCUGAAGGUCCCUCCCCCGACUGAGUCAUUGGGAUUCUUAUAUCUGCAUCUUUUGCCCCUCCAUCACCUCGCACUCCAGGCUGAGGUUUGGGAUUUGGGGGUCUGGGCUGGCUGAGGAAGCAAGGGUGACUCCUUCCAAGAAAAACAGGAUGUGCAGCAAGCAGCAGCCAGACGUGAAACCAGAACAGAAGCCCCAGGUGAGAGACUAAGUAGGCAGAGAUAGAAUGUCAGAUAGGUAGCAGGGUGUGAGCCUGGCAAUCCCACUGGCGAUCCCCAACAGACAGAAGCAAGACAAUCCCAGAGCAAGAAGGUUGGGGUGGAGGGCAGGAAGCAGGACCUGGAGAGGCUUCCUGAGCAGCUGGAGGUCCUCUGGAGGGACCCUGAAAUAUGGAGGAGAAGAAGGCAGAAGCCAUGCUAGUGAGCGUGCAAUGGUAUCUCACUGUGAUUUUGAUUUACAUUCCCCUAUUGGCUAAUGAUGUUUAGCAUUUUUUCAUGUGCUUAUUGCCAUUUUAUACAUUCUUGAAAUGGCUAAUCAAAUCCUUUGCCCAUUUUUAAACUGGAUCGUCUUUUUAUGUUUAUGGAUUUUUUAUACUUAUAAGUCCCCUAUCAGAUAUAUGAUUUACAAGUAUUUUCUCUCAUUCUGUAAGUUUUCACUUUCUUGAUGGCAUCAUUUGAAGCCAAAAGUUUUUAAUCUUGAUGAUGUCUAUUUGUCUGUAUUCUCUUUCAUUGCUCAUACUUUUGGUGUCAUGUCUAAGUAACUGAUGUCUAAUGCAAGGUCACUGUGAUUUUUACCUAGGUUUUCUUCUAUGAGUUUUAUAAUUUUAGCUAUUAAAUUUAAAUCUCUGAUCCAUUUUAAGUUAAACUUUGUAUAGGGUGUGAAGCAGUGGUCCCCCUUCAUUCUUUGGCAUUCUUGUGGUUGAAUAUUGUUGAGAAUCAGUUGACCGUGGACAAGCUGUUUCAUUUCUGGACCUUCAAUUCCAUGGCAUUUAUGUAUAAGUCUGUCUAUUGUUGUGCCAAUACCACAGGUCUUCAAUACUUCAACUUUUUAGUAAGUUUGGAGUCCUCAACUUUGUUCUUCUUUUUCAAGAUUGUUUUGGUAAUUCUGGAUUCCUUGCAAUUCCAAAUGAAUUUUAGGAUCAGCUUAUCAAUUUCAGCAGAAAGGCAGUUGGAAUUUUGAUUGGGAUGGCUUGUAGCAUGGGUCAUUUGUGAGGAGUAAUGGUAUUACCAUUUUCUCAAAAUUAAGUCUGCCAAUUCAUAAACAUGAGGUGUCUUUCUAUUUAUUUAGGUAUACUUGAAUUUCUCUGAAAAAUGUAGUUUUCAGUUUAAGUCUUGCACUUCUUGAGUUAAAGAUGUAUUCUUUUUGAUGCUACGGUAAAUGAGAUUUUCUUAAUUUUGCUUUUGAAUUGUCUAUUGCUAGCAUCUAGAAAUACUUGAUUUUUGUAUAUUGGUCUUAUAUCCUGCGAUCUUACUAAAUGUAUUUAUUAGUUUUAAUAGAUUUUUUAUGGGUUCCUUGGGAAUUCCAUACAUAAGAUCAUGUCAUCAGUGAAUAGAGAUAGUUUUAAUUCUUUCCAAUCUUGAUGCUGAUUUUUUGUUCUCACCUAAUUUCCCUGGCUAGAACCUCAAGUACAGUGUUGAGUAGAAGUGAUCAGAGUGAACGAUCAUAUCAUGUUCCUAAUCAUGGGGGGGAGGGAAGUAUUUAGCAUAAUCACUAUGUUUAUUAUUUUGUGAUUAUGUUAGCUAUGGGUUUUAUCAAGUUGAAGAAAUUCUCUUAUGUUCUUAAUUGGUUGAUGUUUUUAAUGUGAAAGGAUAUUGGAUUUUGUAAAAAUGUUUCUUGCAUCUAUUGAGGAAAUCAUUUAUUUUAUUGUCCUUUAUUCUAUUAAUAUGAUGCAUUACAUUGAUUUUUGUAUGGCAAAUCAACUUAUAUUGUUAGGAUAAAUUCCACUUGGUUAUAGUGCGUAAUCCUUUUUUAUAUGUUCCUGGAAAAGAUUUGCUAGUAUUUUGUCGGGAAUUUUGCAUCCAUAUCAUAAGGGAUUUUGAUUUAUAGUGAUUUUUUUUCUUUUUUUAAAAUAUUUUUUACUUAUUUAUUCAUGGAGACACAGAGAGAGAGAGAGACAGAGACACAGGCAGAGGGAGAAGCAGGCUCCACGCAGGGAGCCCGACGCGGGACUCCCCACGAUCACACCCCGGGCUGCAGGCGGCGCUAAACCGCUGCGCCACCGGGGCUGCCCUAUAGUGAUUUUUUUCUAUGUCUGGUUUGAGUAAUACUGGUAUCAAGGCAUGAAUUGAGAAAUGCCCCCUCCCUUCUAUUUUUGGAAGAGUUUGUGAGAGAUUAGUCUCUGUUCUUUUUUAAAUGUUUGGUAGAAUUCAACAGUAAAGCCAUCUAGUAUGGUAUUUUUUUUAUGGGGAAAUUUUUGAUUCGUAAUUCAAUCUAUUUACUUGUAGGCCUAUUCACAUCUGUUUCUUCUUUUUUAAGAUUGAUUUUAUUUAUUUGAGAGGGCAGGGAGGGGCAGAGGGAGAGGGAGAGAUAGUCUUAAGCAAACUCCUCAAUGAGCAUGGAGGGGCUCUAUCCCACUUCCUGAGUGGAAAUCAAGAGCCAGCACUUAACCAACUGUGCUGACCAGGAACCCCACAUCUGUUCCUUCUUGAAUCCAUUUUGGUAGUUUGUGUCUUUCUAGGCAUUCUUAAAUUUAAUCUAGGAUACCUAAUAUGUUGAUUACUAUUGCUCAUAGGACUCCCUUAUAGCUUGUUUUAUUUCUGUAAGGUUGAUAGUGAUGUCCCAUUUUUCAUUUCUGAUUUUAAUAUUUUGAGUCUUCUCUCCCUUUUCGUCAGUCUAACUAAAGGUGGGCCAAUUUCUUGAUUUAUUCCAAAGAAUUCACUUUUGGUUUAAUUGAUUCAUUCUAUCAAUUUUCUAUUCUUUAUUUAAUUUAUCUCCACUCUUCUAUUUACUUCCUCCCAUCUGCUCGAUUUGGGUUUAGUUGACUUUUGUUUUUCUAGUUUAUUAAAGUAUAAGGAAAGGUUAAUGAUUUGAGGAAUCUUCUUUUUUAAUAGUUAUUUAUAGCUAUAAAUUUCCCUUUUAGCACUGCCUUCACUGAAUUUAACAAAUUUUGAUAUAUUGUGUUUUCAUUUUCAUUCUUCUUAAAGUAUUUUUAAAUUUCUAUUGUGAUUUCUUCUUUGACCCAUCUGUUAUUAAGGACUGUGUCACUUAAUUUCCACGUAUUCAUGAAUUCUCCAAAUUUCCUUCCACGACUCAUUUCUAAUUUCAUUCCGUUAUUGCUGGAGAACACACUUUAUGAUUC
rnacentral:lncRNA from 1 species